GUGGGUAUAGCUCAGUGGUACAGCAUGUGUGCUUAGCAUGCAUGAGGUCCUGGGUUCAAUCCCCAGUCCCUCCA
rnacentral:tRNA from 1 species